rnacentral:rRNA from 1 species
UACGGGGGGGGCAAGCGUUGUUCGGAAUUACUGGGCGUAAAGGGUUCGUAGGUGGCCAACUAAGUCAUACGUGAAAUCCCUCAGCUUAACUGGGGAACUGCGUCUGAUACUGGUUGGCUUGAGUGCAGGAGAGGAACGCGGAAUUCCAGGUGUAGCGGUGAAAUGCGUAGAUAUCUGGAGGAACACCGGUGGCGAAGGCGGCGUUCUGGACUGACAUUGACGCUGAACGGCGAAAGCUAGGGGAGCAAACGGG